rnacentral:rRNA from 1 species
UACGUAGGGGGCAAGCGUUAUCCGGAUUCACUGAGUGUAAAGGGAGCGUAGACGGCGACGCAAGUCUGGAGUGAAAGCCCGGGGCCCAACCCCGGGACUGCUCUGGAAACUGCGUCGCUGGAGUACGGGAGGGGCAGGCGGAAUUCCUGGUGUAGCGGUGAAAUGCGUAGAUAUCAGGAGGAACACCGGCGGCGAAGGCGGCCUGCUGGACCGUGACUGACGUUGAGGCUCGAGAGCGUGGGGAGCAAACAGG